rfam:Picea glauca, whole genome shotgun sequence.
GGGUGCGAUCAUACCAACAUUGAUGCACUGUAUCCCAUCGAAACUCUGUAGUUAAGUGCACUUGGGCUAGAGUAGUAUUGGGAUGGGUGACCUCCCGGGAAAUUCUAGUGUUGUAACCU